CGAGGAGGCUAGGAGUUAGGAGAUAGCCGGUAGAGGUUAGCUGCUCGCUACGACCGCCGCCAGGUCAGGUCUAGGCUACGUGGCGGUCGUAGGGUGGCGUCUAAGCGGGACGGUGGCGGAGGGGGGAGGCCGAAGAUCCAGGGGACCCAGGCGGAGGGGGCGUCGGGGCGACAACGCGCCGUGUAGUAGCUGCCGCUGAGCAUGCGGCAGCGUUCAGGAGGCGUAGUCUAAGGCUGCCCAAACGUAGUCUAGACUUCUGGGCGCCGUGUCUCAACAACGUCUUAUUCGUCGGGCUGCAGGUGUGUGGAGGAUAGGGGAGCGUGCGAGUCACAGUUCCAUACCAAGCAACGAGGGUGAGGAGAAGGGGGUAGAGAAGGUAUUUAAAGUUAGAAUACCUUUUCAGAUCGAACACAAGGUUAGGCCCGUGUACGGGUCGGUUGCCUCGGUGGCCAAAUAGUGUACCAGAUACAACGUACAUCGGUAAACUGAGGUGCUCAUCAAAUCAUGUUAGUGAGGUAAUGUGUGAAUGCAAAUUACAUAACUUGGUAUAUAAGAGAACUUAAUUUUCGGACCUAUGACAUCUCUGUCACGUGCAGAAACUAACUAAACCACUGUGUGAAUACGAUAAACCAUAUACAAAGAUUGACUGUGGACAAAUGAACCACACGAAUCGAUCCAUCUAACUUGACUGGUUCACAUAUUCUCAGGUGAGUCCAACAGUAGAGAGGGUAGUCCUUCGAGUUAAUGGUCCUUCGUCAUUGUGCUCCGUUUUACUAUCUAGAAAAACCAGAACAUAGUAGUACAAACAACCCGCCACUAUGAAAGUCAGGAAUGGUGAGCCAGAACGGCCGGUACAUGAUUUUUACUAAACAUACGGAGAACACGACACAAGUGUACAUGAGUUUAUGAGUUUACGAACGACUCGUUACUAUUAAGGUCAGGUAUUAAGCGAGA
rnacentral:rRNA from 1 species